GCAGUGUACGUCAGACUUCCAAGAAAAGCUCGCUAUGUCAUAAGUAAAAAAUGCCUGUACCAUAACCGACACAGGUGGGUAGGUAGAGUAUACUAAGGGGCGCGAGAUAACUCUCUCUAAGGAACUCGGCAAAAUGACUCCGUAACUUCGGGAGAAGGAGUGCCUUAUUUAUAAGGUUGCAAUAACAAGAUCCAAGCAACUGUUUAUCAAAAACACAGGUCUCCGCUAAGUCGUAAGACGAUGUAUGGGGGCUGACGCCUGCCCAGUGCCAGAAGGUUAAAGAAGUUGGUUAGUGUAUGCGAAGCUGAUGACUGAAGCCCUGGUGAACGGCGGCCGUAACAAUAACGGUCCUAAGGUAGCGAAAUUCCUUGUCGGGUAAGUUCCGACCCGCACGAAAGGCGUAAUGAUUUGGAUACUGUCUCGGAGAGAGGCUCGGUGAAAUAGACUUGUCUGUGAAGAUGCGGACUACCUGCACCAGGACAGAAAGACCCUAUGAAGCUUUACUGUAACUUGAAAUUGGAAUUGGACUUUGCUUGCGCAGUAUAGGUGGGAAGCGUUGAAGAUAUUCUUGCGGGAGUAUUGGAGCUAUCAGUGAGAUACCACUCUUGUAAUGUUAGAUUUCUAACUUUGAACCAUAAUCUGGUCAAAGAACAGUUUCAGGUGGGCAGUUUGACUGGGGCGGUCGCCUCCCAAAUGGUAACGGAGGCGUACAAAGGUUUCCUCUGAACGGAUAGAAAUCGUAUCUAGAGUGUAAAGGCAUAAGGAAGCUUGACUGUGAGACCUACAAGUCGAGCAGGGACGAAAGUCGGUCUUAGUGAUCUGACGGUACUGAGUGGAAAGGCCGUCACUCAACGGAUAAAAGUUACUCUAAGGAUAACAGGCUGAUCUCCCCCAAGAGUUCACAUCGACGGGGAGGUUUGGCACCUCGAUGUCGGCUCAUCGCAUCCUGGGGCGGUAGUACGUCCCAAGGGUUGGGCUGUUCGCCCAUGAAAGCGGUACGCGAGCUGGGUUCAGAACGUCGUGAGACAGUUCGGUCCAUAUCCGGUGUAGGCGUUAGAAUAUUGAGAGGAGCCUUCUUUAGUACGAGAGGACCGAGAAGGACACACCGCUGGUGUACCAGUUAUCGUGCCAACGGUAAACGCUGGGUAGCUAUGUGUGGAGUGGAUAACCGCUGAAAGCAUCUAAGUGGGAAGCCCACCUCAAGAUGAGUAUUCUC
rnacentral:rRNA from 1 species